rnacentral:rRNA from 1 species
GACGAACGCUGGCGGCGUGCCUAAUACAUGCAAGUUGAGCGAUGAAGAUUGGUGCUUGCACCAAUUUGAAGAGCAGCGAACGGGUGAGUAACGCGUGGGGAAUCUGCCUUUGAGCGGGGGACAACAUUUGGAAACGAAUGCUAAUACCGCAUAACAACUUUAAACAUAAGUUUUAAGUUUGAAAGAUGCAAUUGCAUCACUCAAAGAUGAUCCCGCGUUGUAUUAGCUAGUUGGUGAGGUAAAGGCUCACCAAGGCGAUGAUACAUAGCCGACCUGAGAGGGUGAGAGGCCACAUUGGGACUGAGACACGGCCCAAACACCUACGGGAGGCAGCAGUAGGGAAUCUUCGGCAAUGGACGAAAGUCUGACCGAGCAACGCCGAGUGAGUGAAGAAGGUUUUCGGAUCGUAAAACUCUGUUGGUAGAGAAGAACGUUGGUGAGAGUGGAAAGCUCAUCAAGUGACGGUAACUAACCAGAAAGGGACGGCUAACUACG